UACGUAGGCAGCAAGCGUUGUUCGGAGUUACUGGGCGUAAAGCGUGCGUAGGUGGUUCGUUAAGUCCGUUGUGAAAGCCCCGAGCUCAACUUGGGAAUUGCAGUGGAUACUGGCGAGCUAGAGUGCGGUAGAGGAAGGUGGAAUUCCCGGUGUAGCGGUGAAAUGCGUAGAGAUCGGGAGGAACACCAGUGGCGAAGGCGGCCUUCUGGACCAGCACUGACACUCAAGCACGAAAGCGUGGGGAGCAA
rnacentral:rRNA from 1 species